GAAAAAAAUGGCCAGCGGUAAUACCUUAGCCUUAGGCUUAGUAGAAGGAUUAGAUCUACGUAUCAUUAAAGGAGUACUCUAAAAUCUGCCAUUAACAUUUUCAAGACGAAGUAUCAUGGACAGUAUUGAAGGAUUACGUACUAUAAAGGAAUACUCUAAAAUCUGCCGUUAACAUUUUGAAGACGAUGAAGUAUUGUGGACUAGCUACUACACAUGGAAGAGUAGAGAGUGCAUUAACAAAAGUGUAAAGUCUCAGGAAGUCGCAGGAUGGCUGCCUGGUCUUGUGGUUUGCGUGCCGGACUGUCGUUUGGAUUUAUCAAUGUCUCUGGUUCAAACCCUGCCCGCUCCCAUCCCCUGUUGUCCUGCGGGAGGCUUGGACUAGGAAGUAAACUAUCUUCAACUCAGAAGGAACAUCCGAAACAUGUCAAACAUAUAAGGAUAUAAUAGUAAAAAAAAACCAUAUCAGUGAUUUCAGUGAAUUUCAAGAUGGUGUAAGAAAUAUAAAUGUGUCUUCGUUUUGGAUGUUCUUUGUCAAGAGGAGUGUAUGAUUUAUGUACAUUGUAAAGGUUCUGGUCCAGUUAAGGUAGUAUAUAUAUAUUCUAUUGUUCUUGGUACAUCUCUUUGAUGUAUUUUUUUUAACAAACAGAAGUAUAUGGUAAAGGUGAUAUAAGCUACUUCUUAAAACUGUAUCCUACAUUUAUGCAAUAACUAAUUUUUUAGAACUCAUAGAACAAUAUUCUACAAAAAAAUUUUACCAACAAUACUAACAAUUUAAAUGCUAUUAACGAAAACACUAAGUACACAAAUAAAAAAAAUGACAAUGAAAUAAAUAUAUUAAAUUGACUUAAACGAAACAGGACUAAAUGUUAUGUGUGUAAUAAGGCCAUCAAUAAGUAAGAAGACCAUGUCACUUUUUAUGGACUUUCUAAAUUAAGUAUUGUCUACCCACAUCCUGCAGAUUCCUGCUUAUAAGUUAUUGACCAUGUACAUUACAUAUAUUUAAAGGUUUAAGAUACAGUGGGAUAAAUCAAAAAGAUGAAAAUAUUUCUUUUAACUUUCCUAAUUUUAAUGAUUCAUCAAAACAUCAUAAAGGUUCUCUAACAUGUUUUCAGAAUUUAAACAGAGACUAUAAAAGUACUUGGAAAAAUUUUUGGCCAGAGGUUAGGGUAAUAAAUUAGGAUCCUAUUAUUUUCUGGAAUGUUUUGAUAAUUGGUUUACUGUAAGUCUAAGUGUUAGAUGUUAUAUUAUGGGUAAUUAUCUUGUUUUUUGAAGUAACUUGUGUAAUCUAUAAGAUAUAUUGCUGGUUAUUAUGUUCAUGUGGUUCUAAAGAAAUUUAAUGACUGCAUGACUGGGGAUGGGAGCGGCCAGGGUUUGAACUUGGGACCAUCUAUAAACCUAACUACAGGCUGGAGCGCAAACCGCUCGACCAGGCAGCCAUCCAUAUAUAUAUAUAUGGAUAAUAUAAAAUUUAGAUAACAUUAACAUUAUAUGAAAUCAUUGUAUUUUUAAAAUGUGUAUUGUAAAUUAUUUGAAUAUCUAUUUUUUCUCCAUAUGUUCAUUAAGCAAUUGCAAUAAAAACUUAACUCAUUAAA